ensembl:lncRNA SEPTIN7P11 septin 7 pseudogene 11
CGGAGGGGCUGCUGGGGCUUCCAGGAGGGCGCAUGUGCGGAUGACUGGCCGCAGGCGGCCGGGCGGGCUGUAACCCGCCGCUGAACUAGCGCUUCUGUGUCCAGAGGCUUCGGCCUGGCCGCCGUCGCCUGUAAGCUACGAGGAGGAGAUUUACGACUUGGCCGGGCGCAGCAAAGGCCAGACUCUGCGCGAACAGGCGCUGCGCACCAACCGGCAGGCACCUGGCGGGCACCAUCGCACGGUGGCGCAGAAGCCCCUCAAUGGCCAGCGCCAGCUGCAGCCGCGGCCGCGCAGUCGUCCCACCUGAGCUUGGGCGAAUGUGGAUUGGGAAAGUCGACAUUAAUCAACUCAUUAUUCCUCAUAGAUUUGUAUUCUCCAGAGUAUCCAGGUCCUUCUCACAGAAUUAAAAAGACUGUACAGCUGGCAGCCUGUUAUCGAUUACAUUGAUAGUAAAUUUGAGGACUACCUAAAUGCAGAAUCAUGCGUGAACAGACAUCAGAUGCCUGAUAACAGGGUGCAGUGUUGUUCAUACUUCAUUGCUCCUUCAGGACAUGGACUUAAACCAUUGGAUAUUGAGUUUAUGAAGCGUUUGCAUGAAAAAGUGAGUAUCACCCCACUUAUUGCCAAAGCAGACACACUCACACCAGAGGAAUGCCAACAGUUUAAAAAACAGUUGAAAAUGGUGAACAUUGUUAUUUUACAAUUCUAAGAAAUAUGUUGAUAAGGUAACUUUUCCGGUCACACACAACAGACUGAUUUUCCUGUGGAAGACCUCACAGGAGUUCUCUUGAACCAGGAGACUAUUUUGAGCUGAAAUACCUGGAGCCCUCUCAAGCUAUUUGGGCCUUUCAAUUUGAAACCCAGGUUUGGAUGAUUCUAAGCUCUAUGGCAGAGACUGUAAUCAUUUUCUCUUCACCCUCAGGUUGGGGACUCACCCUCAGGGUUGGGAGUGACUGCUGUCUCUCCAGCCCCCACCAAUUACACCAUGUUCUGGUUGUUAAAAUCCAGUGUAUGCAUGAAAUGUAAUAAAAGUAUCUUCGCAGCACUAAGUAGA